AGGAGAAUUUUAGAAGGCCAAAUUGUAAUUCACCGCCUCCAAACCAGAACAACGAUUGAAGUAAGCAUUUUAGUUUGGUCUACUUUGUGAGGGUAAAACUGACAGUUCAGUAUAAGUCAAGAACACGUCUACUUGGGCAUGUGGCGUUACUACUAGUUAACGUAUAUGUGUUAAAGAAGUGUUGAUUGAUUUUAUUUUUUUUUUGUCAACGAAGUGUUGAUUGAUAACUUUUCACUUUAAAAAUUUAUUUAUUCUUCUUAAAUAAUGAAUGGAAACAGAUUAUAAGACCGUUGUGGGUCCCUUUAGAGCUUACGUGCUGUAAUUUGAUUUGGUAUAUAAUUUUCGCUGGUCGCAGUCGCAGCUUCUUAGCAAGUGACCGUUGGAGACUGAGAGGAGCCUUCUUUGUUUGUUUGUUUUUUUUCUCCGGUGUCCACUGGCGACCGUUGUGAAAUCAAAACCUUUAAUUAUCUCAAUUCACACGAGGUCUUCUAAUAAAAAUAGGUAUAAUACAAGUCUCCUUAAGAGUGUGUGUACAAUUUUAUGAGUUGUGACAUUGUAACGGAUAGUUCUUUUCUUACUUAAAAACGGUAUUCGUUGGAAAAAGAAUAUUAUCGAUUUAUGUGCUAGAAAGAUCAAACUUUGGUAUCCAUGAACAAAUUAUCUAACUGUCUCUACUUAUAUCCGAUACUACUAAUUAUCAUUAUAUUAGUAUUCUUAGAGAUCAUACGUUUAGGAAAGUAGAUCAUUUUUUUCUUCCUGUAUUAAGAAGUUUGAACAGUCCAUUGAAUCAAUACAGAAAAAAUCCAGAGCAUGUUUCUUGUUAAAGUUAGAUUAGGGCUUCACAAUUGGCUGAUGGAGAAGAACUAACAACAAAGAUGAUUUUUUUUUGAUCAAACAACAACAAAGAUGAAUAAAAGUAGAAGGAAGAACCGAACUCGUUCUGUUCAAAAAAAAAAAAAAAAAGAAGAACCGAACUCGUAUUUUCUAGAAUCGCAGAUCAAAAUUAUUGAGAUAUUAAAAUAAGUGAAUUAGAUUAUACGUAAUAAAACUUUUAUUAAACCAUUAUUACCAAGUUUAUACAUUAAAAUGCAUAUAAAUCACGGAAACUCAAUGUUUCUGCAGAAUAUAUUAAAUUUAUAAAAAGAUGAUCUUCCAAUCCAUACAAUAUGUUAAUUAUAUUCCAAUCCAUACAAUAUGUUAAUUAUAUUCCAAUCCAUAAAAUAUGAUCUUCCAAUCCAUACAAUAUGUUAUUUAUAAACUAUAUUCCCCCCCCCCUCUCUAACCUAUGUUAAUUAUAGGAGUACAAAUUAAAAUUACAUACAUAUAUAUGGUGCAAAGUAGCAAAU
rnacentral:lncRNA from 1 species